CAGUCGCCGCGGGAAUACGUAGGUCCCGAGCGUUGUCCGGAUUUAUUGGGCGUAAAGGGAGCGCAGGCGGUUUAGUAAGUCUGGAGUUAAAGGCAUUGGCUCAACCAAUGUAUGCUUUGGAGACUGUUUGACUUGAGUGCAGAAGGGGAGAGUGGAAUUCCAUGUGUAGCGGAGAAAUGCGUAGAUAUAUGGAGGAACACCGGUGGCGAAAGCGGCUCUCUGGCUUGUAACUGACGCUGAGGCUCGAAAGCGUGGGGAGCAAACAGGAUUAGAUACCCCGGUAGUCCCUGUCUCUUAUACC
rnacentral:rRNA from 1 species